UACGGGGGGAGCAAGCGUUGUUCGGAUUUACUGGGCGUAAAGGGCGCGUAGGCGGCGCAACAAGUCACUUGUGAAAUCUCCGGGCUUAACCCGGAGCGGCCAAGUGAUACUGUCGUGCUAGAGUGCGGAAGGGGCUACUGGAAUUCUCGGUGUAGCGGUGAAAUGCGUAGAUAUCGGAAGGAACAUCAGUGGCGAAGGCGACUUCCUGGACCAAUACUGACGCUCAUGUGCGAAAGCGUGGGGAGCAAACAGG
rnacentral:rRNA from 1 species